GACGAACGCUGGCGGCGUGCUUAACACAUGCAAGUCGAACGGUGAAGCGCGUGCUUGCACUCGUGGAUCAGUGGCGAACGGGUGAGUAACACGUGAGUAACCUGCCCAUCACUCUGGGAUAACCACUGGAAACGGUGUCUAAUACUGGAUACGACCACCCCUUGCAUGGGGUGGUGGUGGAAAGUUUUGUCGGUGGUGGAUGGACUCGCGGCCUAUCAGCUUGUUGGCGGGGUGAUGGCUCACCAAGGCGACGACGGGUAGCCGGCCUGAGAGGGUGACCGGCCACACUGGGACUGAGACACGGCCCAGACUCCUACGGGAGGCAGCAGUGGGGAAUAUUGCACAAUGGGCGAAAGCCUGAUGCAGCGACGCCGCGUGAGGGAUGACGGCCUUCGGGUUGUAAACCUCUUUCGGCAGGGAAGAAGCGAGAGUGACGGUACCUGCAGAAGAAGCACCGGCUAACUACGUG
rnacentral:rRNA from 1 species